rnacentral:lncRNA from 1 species
UUUUUCCAAUAACAGAUGAUGUGAUGACUUCUUACUUGAUGGUUCAAGAUACAUGUGGUAGAAUGGUUCUAACCAAUAAUUUCUUCUGGCUAGCUCCUCCCAACUAUCUUCCGUGUAUGCCAUCCAGGUUUGGCUCCAUCUGCUCAACUGCCUUAAUUUGAGAUUGCAACUGCCGGCCUCCCUUGAUUUUCUUUGGACUAGUUGUACAGUAACAUUUUACCAAAUCUUGACC